rnacentral:tRNA from 1 species
GGUCGGAAGUUCAAGUCUUCCCAGGCCCACCACACUCAUCGAGUGAGCAUUCGUCUUCUGGUUACGGGGCCAUAGCUCAGCUGGGAGAGCGCGUGCUUUGCAAGCAUGAGGUCGUCGGUUCGAUCCCGUCUGGCUCCACCAGAUGGUUUGAUCACCAUCGAUGACACCGUCGUCCGCGAAACAUCACUUCGCAUCCUGCUAGUCUGGAUAGACAGCAGUUUGCGUGAUUUCUGACAUCGUAAAGAGGAGAUCGAUCCGAGUUGGAUCGUGCAGAGAAUAUCUGCGCGAGACUUCAUUAUCUCCGGAUCAUUUCGGCGCUCGUGCGCCUUUCAGUGCAGCUCACAAGGCUGCGUCUGGAAGAUAUGCGAGUUGUAAAUGAUCCUUUUAGCGAAGCUUGACCGCCUCGCUAUCGGAACGAUCUUACGAAGCAAGCUGGUCUUUCUAAUCAUUGUCCGGCUGCAGAUAGCGUUCAUCGAGGGCGCGUGCCUUAGAGACUUAGGUUUCUUGGUAAUUCUGCAGACAACAUUCUGCCGAGUGUGUGGACAUUGAUAAUGAGAGC